rnacentral:rRNA from 1 species
GGUUAAGCGACUAAGCGUACACGGUGGAUGCCCUGGCAGUCAGAGGCGAUGAAGGACGUGCUAAUCUGCGAUAAGCGUCGGUAAGGUGAUAUGAACCGUUAUAACCGGCGAUUUCCGAAUGGGGAAACCCAGUGUGAUUCGUCACACUAUCAUUAACUGAAUCCAUAGGUUAAUGAGGCGAACCGGGGGAACUGAAACAUCUAAGUACCCCGAGGAAAAGAAAUCAACCGAGAUUCCCCCAGUAGCGGCGAGCGAACGGGGAGCAGCCCAGAGCCUGAAUCAGUGUGUGUGUUAGUGGAAGCGUCUGGAAAGGCGCGCGAUACAGGGUGACAGCCCCGUACACAAAAAUGCACAUGCUGUGAGCUCGAUGAGUAGGGCGGGACACGUGGUAUCCUGUCUGAAUAUGGGGGGACCAUCCUCCAAGGCUAAAUACUCCUGACUGACCGAUAGUGAACC